AUGGGGCUGGGACACCUGAAGGAACCAUCCAGCACCACGGCCCCAUCAGUCUUCCCGCUGACCUCCAGCACCGACUCCAACCCCACGGCGGCCCUGGGCUGCCUGAUCAAAGACUACUUCCCCGAGCCUGUGACCGUGACCUGGAACUCGGGCAAGCUGACCAGCGGCGUGCACACCUUCCCGGCCGUCCUGCAGUCCUCGGGGCUGUACGCCAGCAGCAGCAUGGUGACCGUGCCAGCCAGCAGCUUGAAGGGCCAGCCCUUCGUUUGUAACGUUGCCCACCAGGCCAGCGGGACCAAACAGGAUAAGAAGAUUGUUAAGCCUGUGGUCGAACCCCUGUGUCCCAAGUGCCCAGCUCCUGAGCUCCUGGGGGGACCAUCAGUCUUCAUCUUCCCCCCAAAGCCCAAGGACACUCUCAUGAUCUCCCUGACACCCGAGGUCAACUGCAUGGUGGUGGACGUGGGCCCUGACGACCCUGAGGUACAGUUCAACUGGUACGUGGACGGCACAGAGGUGCACACAGCCCGGGAGAAGGUGCAGGAAGAGCAGUUCAACAGCACCUACCGCGUGGUCAGCACCCUCCCCAUCGCGCACCAGGACUGGCUGAAGGGCAAGGAGUUCAAGUGCAAGGUCAACAGCCGAGCCCUCCCAGCCCCCAUCGAGAGGACAAUCUCCAAAGUCAGAGGCCAGGCCCGGCAGCCCCGGGUGUACGUCAUAGGUGGGAAGUCCGAGAGCGACUUCCGGAACACGGAGCCCGUGCUGGACAGCGACGGCAGCUACUUCCUCUACAGCAAGCUCUCCCUGAGCAAAGACAGGUGGCACAGGGAGGAUCACUUCUCGUGCUCUGUGAUGCACGAGGCCCUGCACAACCACCACACCCAGAAGACCGUCUCCAAGUCUCCCGGUAAAUGA